CCUCUAUUAUGUGUGCAUUCAGAAUAAUCAAUACCAUUGCUAAUAUAUUAGGAUGUGGCACAAAUGCAGCUCUGCUGUUCUGCCGGAUAAUGUAUCCCAAAGGUGGAGGAGGAUAGGACAUUGUUAAAAGGCAUCCUAAGAACUUAACUAAAUGCGGCGAUCAAUACAAAGCUGUGCAAACCUACCCGGGAAAAAGCGGCGGAGGAAGUGGAGGAGAAGAGGGACGUGACCUAACUGUUUUAUUGGGGCUAGCUGUGUCUGAUUCCCCAUUUCCUCUCCAGCCCAGAUGCAAAGCAGAGGCAUGCACCGCUGAGGAUGAUGGGUAAUCAGCCCAGGUCUCUUGCUGCCUUCAUUUGGCCAGCUAGAAAAACGUCUGUGCCUUUGGUUUAAGGAGACCCACAUGGACAGUUAGCCGCGGCGUAUGCUCUGGGACUCCAGCUGCUCCCAUGGAUUUGCAUAUUUUCAGUUGGGUUUUAUGUUGUUCUUCUGUAUUUUUUUGUUCUUUUCUUUCACUAUGACAAAGUGAAUAAAAUGGCCUUCAGCCAGUUCAUCGGCC